rnacentral:rRNA from 1 species
AUGAACGCUAGCGACAGGCUUAACACAUGCAAGUCGAGGGGCAUCAUGAGGUAGCAAUACCUUGAUGGCGACCGGCGCACGGGUGAGUAACGCGUAUGCAACCUGCCCGAUACCGGGGUAUAGCCCAUGGAAACGUGGAUUAACACCCCAUAGUACUUUUAUCCUGCCUGGGAUGUGAGUUAAAUGUUCAAGGUAUCGGAUGGGCAUGCGUCCUAUUAGUUAGUUGGCGGGGUAACAGCCCACCAAGACGAUGAUAGGUAGGGGUUCUGAGAGGAAGGUCCCCCACAUUGGAACUGAGACACGGUCCAAACUCCUACGGGAGGCAGCAGUGAGGAAUAUUGGUCAAUGGACGUAAGUCUGAACCAGCCAAGUCGCGUGAGGGAAGACUGCCCUAUGGGUUGUAAACCUCUUUUAUAAGGGAAGAAUAAGUUCUACGUGUAGAAUGAUGCCUGUACCUUAUGAAUAAGCAUCGGCUAACUCCGUGCCAGCAGCCGCGGUAAUACGGAGGAUGCGAGCGUUAUCCGGAUUUAUUGGGUUUAAAGGGUGCGUAGGCGGUUUAUUAAGUUAGUGGUUAAAUAUUUGAGCUAAACUCAAUUGUGCCAUUAAUACUGGUAAACUGGAGUACAGACGAGGUAGGCGGAAUAAGUUAAGUAGCGGUGAAAUGCAUAGAUAUAACUUAGAACUCCGAUAGCGAAGGCAGCUUACCAGACUGUAACUGACGCUGAUGCACGAGAGCGUGGGUAGCGAACAGGAUUAGAUACCCUGGUAGUCCACACCGUAAACGAUGAUUACUAGGUGUUGGAGGAUUGACCCCUUCAGUGCCGCAGUUAACACAAUAAGUAAUCCACCUGGGGAGUACGACCGCAAGGUUGAAACUCAAAGGAAUUGACGGGGGCCCGCACAAGCGGAGGAACAUGUGGUUUAAUUCGAUGAUACGCGAGGAACCUUACCUGGGUUUAAAUGGGAAAUGUCGUAUUUGGAAACAGAUAUUCUCUUCGGAGCGUUUUUCAAGGUGCUGCAUGGUUGUCGUCAGCUCGUGCCGUGAGGUGUCGGGUUAAGUCCCAUAACGAGCGCAACCCUUACCGUUAGUUGCUAGCAUGUAAUGAUGAGCACUCUAACGGGACUGCCACCGUAAGGUGAGAGGAAGGCGGGGAUGACGUCAAAUCAGCACGGCCCUUACACCCAGGGCUACACACGUGUUACAAUGGCCGGUACAGAGGGCCGCUACCAGGUGACUGGAUGCCAAUCUCAAAAGCCGGUCGUAGUUCGGAUUGGAGUCUGUAACCCGACUCCAUGAAGUUGGAUUCGCUAGUAAUCGCGCAUCAGCCAUGGCGCGGUGAAUACGUUCCCGGGCCUUGUACACACCGCCCGUCAAGCCAUGGAAGCCGGGGGUGCCUGAAGUCCGUAACCGCGAGGAUCGGCCUAGGGCAAAACUGGUAACUGGGGCU